rnacentral:pre_miRNA from 1 species
UCUGGUCAGUUUUGCUGGUUUGCAUGCAGCUGUGACUUUUGCUGUGCAAAUCCAUGCAAAACUGACUGUAGC